rnacentral:tRNA from 1 species
GCGCCUGUUUGGCGAGGCGUUGUCCGGCACCUGGGAAGCGCUGCUGGACCGGCGCGCCGAUUUGCUGGUGGGCGCGCC